rnacentral:rRNA from 1 species
UACGUAGGGGGCAAGCGUUGUCCGGAAUCAUUGGGCGUAAAGAGCGUGUAGGCGGCCCGAUAAGUCCGCUGUGAAAGUCCAGGGCUCAACCCUGGGAUGCCGGUGGAUACUGUCGGGCUCGAAUCCGGAAGAGGUGAGUGGAAUUCCUGGUGUAGCGGUGAAAUGCGUAGAUAUCAGGAAGAACACCAAUGGCGAAAGCAGCUUUCUGGGACGGUACUGACGCUGAGACGCGAAAGCGUGGGGAGCGAACAGG